rnacentral:rRNA from 1 species
GUGGGGAAUUUUGGACAAUGGGCGAAAGCCUGAUCCAGCAAUGCCGCGUGCAGGAUGAAGGCCCUCGGGUUGUAAACUGCUUUUGUACGGAACGAAAAGCCUGGGGCUAAUAUCCCCGGGUCAUGACGGUACCGUAAGAAUAAGCACCGGCUAACUACGUGCCAGCAGCCGCGGUAAUACGUAGGGUGCAAGCGUUCAUCGGAAUUACUGGGCGUAAAGCGUGCGCAGGCGGUUUUGUAAGACAGUGGUGAAAUCCCCGGGCUCAACCUGGGAACUGCCAUUGUGACUGCAAGGCUAGAGUGCGGCAGAGGGGGAUGGAAUUCCGCGUGUAGCAGUGAAAUGCGUAGAUAUGCGGAGGAACACCGAUGGCGAAGGCAAUCCCCUGGGCCUGCACUGACGCUCAUGCACGAAAGCGUGGGGAGCAAACAGGAUUAGAUACCCCGGUAUCC